UACUCGUUAGUGUACAGGGCACAUAAAGUUUUGAUCUUUAAGGAGAGUGGUGUAAAUCCAUCACGUGUAA
rnacentral:tRNA from 1 species